GAUGAACGCUGGCGGCGUGCCUAAUACAUGCAAGUCGAGCGAACAGACGAGGAGCUUGCUCCUCUGACGUUAGCGGCGGACGGGUGAGUAACACGUGGAUAACCUACCUAUAAGACUGGGAUAACUUCGGGAAACCGGAGCUAAUACCGGAUAAUAUAUUGAACCGCAUGGUUCAAUAGUGAAAGACGGUUUUGCUGUCACUUAUAGAUGGAUCCGCGCCGCAUUAGUUAGUUGGUAAGGUAACGGCUUACCAAGGCAACGAUGCGUAGCCGACCUGAGAGGGUGAUCGGCCACACUGGAACUGAGACACGGCCCAGACUCCUACGGGAGGCAGCAGUGGGGAAUCUUCCGCAAGGGGCGAAAGCCUGACGGAGCAACGCCGCGUGAUUGAUGAAGGUCUUCGGAUCGUAAAACUCUGUUAUUGGGGAAGAACAGAUGUGUAAGUAACUAUGCACGUCUUGACGGUACCUAAUCAGAAAGCCACGGCUAACUACGUG
rnacentral:rRNA from 1 species